UACGGAGGGAGCUAGCGUUGUUCGGAAUUACUGGGCGUAAAGCGCACGUAGGCGGCUUUGUAAGUUAGAGGUGAAAGCCCGGGGCUCAACCCCGGAAUUGCCUUUAAGACUGCAUCGCUUGAAUCCAGGAGAGGUGAGUGGAAUUCCGAGUGUAGAGGUGAAAUUCGUAGAUAUUCGGAAGAACACCAGUGGCGAAGGCGGCUCACUGGACUGGUAUUGACGCUGAGGUACGAAAGCGUGGGGAGCGAACAGG
rnacentral:rRNA from 1 species